GGGGUCGUAGUUCAGCUGGUUUAGAACGCCGGCCUGUCACGCCGGAGGUCGCGAGUUCGAGUCUCGUCGGCCCCGCCA
rnacentral:tRNA from 1 species